UGGGGAAUAUUGGGCAAUGGGCGAAAGCCUGACCCAGCAACGCCGCGUGAAGGAAGAAGGUUUUCGGAUCGUAAACUUCUAUCCUUGGGGAAGAUAAUGACGGUAGCCAAGAAGGAAGCCCCGGCUAACUACGUGCCAGCAGCCGCGGUAAGACGUAGGGGGCAAGCGUUGUCCGGAAUGAUUGGGCGUAAAGGGCGCGUAGGCGGCCUGGGAAGUCUGGAGUGAAAGUCCUGCGUUUAAGGUGGGAAUUGCUUUGGAUACUGCCGGGCUUGAGUGCAGGAGAGGGAAGUGGAAUUCCCGGUGUAGCGGUGAAAUGCGUAGAGAUCGGGAGGAACACCAGUGGCGAAGGCGACUUACUGGACUGUAACUGACGCUGAGGCGCGAAAGUGUGGGGAGCAAACA
rnacentral:rRNA from 1 species